UGGGCUAUCGCCAAGCGGUAAGGCAGCGGACUUUGACUCCGCCAUGCGUAAGUUCGAAUCUUACUAGCCCAGCCA
rnacentral:tRNA from 1 species